UGGGAGUGGCGUUUGGMUGAGGAAUAAUCGGAACUACUUUUUCGUGAYGGGUUACGUSGGGAAACUUACGCUAAUACCGCAUACGAMCUACGGGUGAUWCUGGGGAUCUUCGGACCUUGCGCGWUUGAAUGAGCCGAKUCGGAUUAGCUAGUUGGCGGGGUAAAGGCCCACCAAGGCGARGAUCCGUAGCUGGUCUGAGAGGAUGAUMKCCACACUGGRACUGKGACACGGUCCAGACUCCUACGGGAGGCKGCAGUGGGGAAUAUUGGACAAUGGGCG
rnacentral:rRNA from 1 species